CCUGGGCGGGGGGAGAGGGGGAGCCCCCCUUCUCCAGGGGCUUCUGGCGGUAGAGGGGGCCUGGCUCGCAACUGAGUGCGGAGACGGAGCCCUUCUCUCAGGGGAGAGGGAGGGGAGAGCCUCUGGCCGAGGGCACUGAGGUGACGAAGGGGCCGCCGCAGAGGCUCCUACCCGGGGAGCUGUGGCGAAGGGCAAGGCCCCUUCCCAUGGGGGGGUGAGGAGCGUCUUCCCGGGGAAGAGGUGGUCACGGGGAAAGCUCUUUCAAGCAGGGAGAGAGGGAAGAGCCCCCGGCGCUCCAGCCCUGCCUGAGAGGGACUGACCCGCUGUGGGCUGGAAGGUGCGAGGGCCAGAGCUCGGCUCACCCGGCCGGCGCUGCGGGGCUGAGCCCUGGCUGGGCGGAGAAUGAUGGUGGGGCAGCCUGUACCCUGCUCCAUCCUCCCGCACUCUGCUCCAUCCUCCCGCACUCUGCUCCAUCCUCCCGCACUCUGCUCCAUCCUCCCGCGCAGGGGCGAAGGUGGCGGUGGCGAAGAGCAGAGCAAACUGGUGGUGCAGAGGAGCUCCCCUCACACAAGAAACAACCGCCUGCUUUAAUUAGGAUGAAAAAAAAAAUUCGUCAAGACACAGGUCCGGAACUGAAAGUGCAGCUCAAGGCUGAUAGCUCGGGGUUUGACCUCCAGAUGCUGCUUGACCUGUCCGGGAGGUGUAAAGUAGCCGGAGGCUGCGGAGGGGCAGCGACCAGCACCCCUGACAGCUCCCAUGCCUUACUCUUGUUAUUGAGGAUUUCUUUAAGGAAGGUGGCAAGUGUUGUUCUUCCCACUCGGAAUGUAUUAACAAUGGCUUUAACUGUGUAUGUGAAGAUAAGUUUGUCUGUGACACUGAAGUUUUGUGUUUCCUAAUAAAUGAUAAGGACCUCCCUAGGUACGGGGGUCUUUCCUGUUCUAACAAAACACAGUUAAGGUCUUUUCCAACCCACAUGAAAAUAAAAGCCCCCAAAAUAUAUUAUGAAAAUUAGAGAUAUUAACAUUUCGAAGAUGAAACAAAGAUAACAGUUUUGCUGAAUAUUUAAUAUCCCACAGCACCACACAUAACUGAUCUGGGUUCCUGGACCAGAAGUUCAUUUUCCCAGCCUGCUGUGUUAGUGGCUGUGCUGCUGCUUUUCAGCCUCAGAAGUGGCUCCAAAUGAAUAUGUAUUAUCUAUAGAACUGAUUUUGGAUUUUUGGGCCACUUGAGGUGAAAAAAGUGAUAAGUAUGUGAAAUGCUGUUGUGUUCUGGGAAACAAUACUACAGAGUCUACAUCUAAACGGUUUGGCCAUGCAGUUCCUGAGUUCCCUGUGUUCAACCAUGCUGUUUAUGAAGCCCUGAAACCACACUGUGAAGUUUAUUGUACAUUGAACUUGUCCAUGAGUCAGGUGAUUAUUUGCAUCCUCUGUGUUGUGCAACACUACUAAACACAGCUGAUCAGCUCUGCCUGAGCUGUGAAUCGGGGAACAAAUUUCCAAGUGGCCAUUUGACUGUGUCACCUUUGCUGCCUGUUACUGUUGCCUGUGCCCUUGUCAUAACUUUAAUAUGUAAUGUAACUUUCAUGCUGCUUCCAGAUUAACUUACUCUUACAUUGUGUUCUCUGAUGUAUUAUUUGAAUCUGCAGCCUUACAAUAUUUUUAUUUUUAACAUUGCCCAGAACUUUUUCUACUUGUAACUGUUGCAGCUGACUAAUGAGUGAUUUUCUCAUAAAUGUUGUGCUGAAAUCGUGUUUAGUUGCGUGUCCUGAUACAUGGUCUGCUGAAGUUUUGCAAUGUUUGUCUGGCCAUUUUGCAAGUUUAAUUUGAAGGUCCUUCUGUUUUGGAAAAACCAGACAAGGAAUUAAAAAUGUGAAGAACCACAAAGACAUGAAAAAGACCCAAAACUUUCAGAGAAAGGGAAGCAAGCUUGUGAUCUUGGCCCAUUUUUAAGGAAGGACAUGGAAAGUAGGCUGGGAGGAAAAAAAAAAAGGUGGGGUGGUUUGGUUUUUUUUCUGACUGUCAGCUGACACUAAAGUGACAGGCAGAUUCUUUCCUUGGGAAAUCCCCCAAAAAACCUUUUUUGUCCCCUUAGUGGCAGGUGACACUGACACUGUUACUGAACACAUAACAAAACUGGGGAACGUUCUUGUGCUUGAUGCUUCCUGACUGCUUAGUGUGUCUUCAUCAUGUGCCAGAUCUAGACCAGUCUUUAGGAGAUGAAUCUAGCUCUGCAACCUGCAUUUUGCACAAGUGCAAGAAGAAUGAAUCCACUACAGAAGGACUGAACCUUGUUCAAACCAUAUAAAUCAAUUUAGCCAUCAGCUUUUAUAAUACUGUCAGGCUCAGCAUUAUUUUCUGUAUCAUGGUUAAAGCCAAGCUGUGUAUUUCAAGUAAAAUGGGACUGAAUAGGGAAGGUAGAUUACCUCACACCUGUCUACUACAGAGUUCAUAUUCUGCUGCUAUCCUUGCUGGACUAGGCAGACAUCUGGUGUAAUCCAUUAAAAUAGUUUCUGUGUUCUGAUGUUUGAUUAGAGAGCUGCGAAUCAGCUCACUUGUCUCUGGAUUAAUCAGUCAUUUUCCUAUUGUAAUUGGCUCCAUAGUCCUACCUGCUUUCUUGAAGCAGCUCAAAUCAGCUUUUUUGCAGUAAACCCUGAAUUUGUAUGCUUUCCUGUUUGGGUUUCCAGGCUCUUCAUGUCUCAAGCUGGGAAUCCAACUUAGAAGCAACUUAAAUCUUCAAAAAUGCAAGAGAAUGAGAGUCAUUAAGUCUAGUUAGUUACUUUCAGGAGCUUCUUGGUUUUACUUCCAGUCGUUCUGCUUAGCUGACCUCAGUGUCUUAAACCUUUGGAAGAUACAGGACACAGCAAGAAAGCCAGUUUGGUUAAGGUUCUUCAAAACCAGUUCAGUAUUAUUUUUCCAGUUCUGUAGUGAACAGGACAUUAUUAGCUUCACUAAGGAAGCUUUAGGAUUAGGUCAAAGUGAGUACAGAAUGCCUGUAUUUGCAAAAUAUUUUGACCCGUGAACCAGAUGAAAGUAUUUUAAAAAAUAGAAUUUCACUAAUUAUCUCAUUUUCCCCAGAUUUCUGUUCUAGGCAUCUGAAUUACCUUCAGAGGACUUGCUUCUAGAGGCCUGAAUGAUCAAAGGGUGCAGGUUAUCUCUGAGUUCUGUAAUAGUUUUCUAUCUGAGGCAACUGCAUAUUAGUCUGGAUUGACAGUUCUAAUAUGUGUUAUUCCACAGUUGGUAGUCAUUUUGUGGAUAUUAGUAUUUCUGAUAUUUCAUUGAGCCAUCUUGACUGAAAUCAUAGUGAAAGCGAAAAAAGGCAUUUACUCACAGUACUGGACAGGACAUAAAUAUGUGUUUUUAGACCAAAGAUCCUUGUUAUCGGAAUAAACAGGUUUCCAGCUGAAUGUGUAGUUUUUUUAUGUUUAUUUACAUGUCAUGAUGGGUACCUUGCAGAGUGAUGUGAAGUCACAUUCAUAUUAGGAAUGGUUAGAAUUUUCAAAGUGUUCACAGCUGGGCUGUGACCUGGCUCAGGGAGGAAAGCUGCAAACCAAUGUUGAAUGCUGAAGCCCCACUCAAAGCUUGGGUAGUAAUUAGUGUAUCUAAAACACUUAGUGUUGAGAUCAUUAUUUCAGAGAUCUGCAAGUGGAGAGGCUGAUAGAACAGCUGUGUAAGUUCUGCAGUGUUUUCUAAUGGAUUUUAAUAUGAUAGUGCUGAGCUGGACCGUUUUAAAGACAGUUUUUGAUUAUUCUUUUGAAAAAGAAUUGUUAUUCUUUUAAAAAUAUUUAAUCACAUAUGACAUGAAAACAUUCUGGUAUCAAGAACAUACUGCUUUCUUUUAGGGUAGCCUUAAUUGUUAAAUAAAAAGCUGAACUAAAUAAGAACCUAAUUUUUUUGUCUUUAUAGGCUUUUUUGAUAACUGGAACUUCUGAUUCACUGGAUUUAUCACGAGGAAAUUAAAAAUAGGAGAAACCAGCUAAUUACUUGAACAAUAUUAUUUAAUCUUGGUCUUUAAAAUAACACUGUAGAUCAGUGUUACUUCUCAUCCUCCAGGCCAACAUAAUUUCUUCAGUUGAAUUGUCCUGAUUUCUGAAUUUUCAAGUAUGUAUAAACAAUAGAGCUUAUUCUGUAAUAGGCAUAGUUGAAUUCCAGAGUUUGGGAGAAGACAUUGCAGUCCUCCUGCUGAAAGGGAUCUGCCCACUGUCUCCUCCUAUCAACAUGAGGAGGUUUCCAACAUCAGUGGAAAACUGUGAGGGGACUGGGCCCAGCCUUGCAUCUGUUCAUACACCAGAAAGAGCUGUUUGCAGUUGUUUAUAAAGUGCUGCAGGAUGGAUUUGUAAACAAAUCUAAAAUGUCUUUUGUUCAACAAAGACAUUUGCCAGAACUUACCGACAGCAUCAGUACAUUUCGAUCUGAGCAGUUGGAAGUCCAGGGGACAUUAGAUAAAGGUUUGUUAGUAAAUUUGAGGCAGUUUGUAAGACCAUGAACUACUUCAGUUUUCAGUGCUUAAGUUGAAAUAUUUGUUCAAGUUCUAUAUAGAAAUUAACUCUCCUUGCUGCAGAAAAAUAUUAUAAUAAUCAUUAGACUCUGUUGCCAGUAGGCUGAUAUUCAACUAAUUUCCAACUUUUUUCAGUUAUCUGGUAGAAACAAUCCCCACUAGAAAAAUCCGUCGAAGAAGAGCUGGUAAUAUAUUUUUGGUACUUAGAGCUUUGAUCAUAUUUCUAUUAUAUAAUUUACCAUAUAAGGAGACCUGAGAAAUACUAAUGAAGGCUUAAUACAGCCAGAAGAUAUAAUUUCUGAAAAAGAAAGAAACAGGAGUGUGUUGGGUGUUCCAGCUGCCAUUUCUGAAUGGUUUACCAUUUCCCAGCCAUAUUUCAAACAGUUUUUUCUUUGACGAAUAAUCAAAGCUUUGAAAAGUUACUUACCUCAAGCCUCCCAACGUUUUUUCUUUCAGUGAAGUUCAAAGCACCCUAUUAAUUAUUAGCACUUGUGAGAGGAGGUUUUUGAAUUUGUAAAAAGUAAAGUGAGACAUAUUGAGAAUUUUAAUAGGUUUUAUACCGAAAUUUGUAAAACAAGUUUCUGGAGGUUUCUUUAGUGUGGCUGCCACUGUUUUUAGUAGGCAGAAGUCUCAUGCAAAAAAACCAGAUUAACCUCAGAAUGCAUUUAUAUGGCCUACAUAGCAUUUUCGGGUUUGGAACUUGAGCUUUAUAGAUUUAAUGCUCAGCUUCCCCUGUUGCAAUGGAAUCAGCUUGAUCUCCACAUGGGGCCACUAACAGGACUGGGACACUUGGAUCUGCAGCACCAGCCUGCUUUCCAGGUGGGACACCUCACACAGGAGCUGUCAGCUUCCACAGAAGAAACGGACAACUUGUCUACACUGGGAAGUUUUCCUUCCUCCUGUCCCUCUUUCCUCCAGCAACACCUGUUUAGGGACAGAAGUCACAGAGGGAAAUGACUGUAGUAAUUCUUACCUUUUUUGUCUAGUUUUUUUUUAAUAAAGACCUGGGGUGCCCUGGUAACAGAAAGCAGCAACCCCCAGAUGUACGAGCUGCUGGAGGCUGUGGAGAGGAGUUUGGUACAAAUAUUUCCUGAUGUCACAGAUCCAGCUGUGCUGCUUCUGUUCCCAGCGGUGCUGCUGGAUCCAGCUCCAGCAGACCCAGCUGGGUGUGCACAUGGUGCUACAUCACUCUUGUUUCUGGAGGAUUGAUUGUGCUGCCCUUUUCCAGAGCAAUGUGAUUCUACAGAAACCAGCUUAGAUUUCUCAAGUAAUCCCCCAAAGUACUUGGCAUGCAGAGCCUUGAUGCACAAUUGCCAUGUUUAGAUUGCAUUGUACCUGAGAUAAUAAGUUCUUCUAGGCUCAAGCUGUGUCUGCAAUUAUCUGUAAGAGAGGUAAACCAAUUUACAAUUAAUUGAGAGUUGGUUAUAGGCACACAUCAAUGUGUCCCAUAUCCCAGCUUCCUUGUGACAUUGUCCCCACAAUUCAUUUUCUUAACUUUGCCACAGAGGCCAAGGCUGUGACUUAAGAAGUGCUGUAUUUGUUAACCUUAGAUUUUUACAUAUGUUUUUUGAAGUAAUUUUACUAUUUGUAUGUUGAAGUGGUUUGGAAAACUGCUCUACCAAAAUCAUAGUAGUAAUGACUUCAAUUUCAUUUUGUCACAGGCUCUAAAAUGCAGGAUGUGAACUUUAGUAUUAAAUACAGGACUCUCCUCCUGCAAAUGUUUGGCAUUGAAUUUGAUGUAUAUAUGUGUAUAGCAAAGGAUUUUUGUGAUUGCUUCUCUUUUAGGAUAAGUAUAUAUUAAGGGUACAGAUUAAAACUUAUACAUUCUGAUACAUGUUUUCUAAUAUAAGUACGUGUCCCUGAUCUCUCAGUAUGGUAAACUGUCUGAUUUCAUAAUUUCAUUGCAGCAAAAAUCAAGCAAAGAAAAGGGAGCGGGAGGAGAAAGAAGUUGUCUUAAAUUAUUAUUAUUAGAUUAAUAACCUCUCUAUUUCAUUUACUUACUAAUUCCUAGAGCUAUUUACUUAGCAGUGGAUCUCACACUCAGGAGUGAAGACUGGCAAGAUUUUCCUUUUACAUUUUGUUUCAUAAGCACCCUGAAAGAUGUGUUGAAUUUCAAUCUCCACAAAAGCAAGUGGAACAUCAGUUCCCGUGAAUCACCAGAGCAGAGCAGCAGGAAUCCAUUCCAGAGAGCCCCUUUGGAUUCAUUGCAGGUCUGCUGAUAUGUUUUCAUCUGCAAUAAGCAGCAAAGUUACUGUGUGAUUUCAGUAAACUUCAGUGCUGGGUAACCUGUCAAGUGACUGUCACGUUUUCCUGCAUUUCGAAUGCAGAUGAGGUGGUAUCAUGCAUUUGAUUAGUGAAAAAUUCCUCAAAUAACUUAUACAAAUCCAAAGGCAGCAGCAUUAUUUCAUGGGAGCUGUCCAUGUGAAAUAGGAUUGUGAGAUAAACUUGCCUCUGUACUACUUACCUAUACCCAAAGUCUGUGGGACUCCAGAAUAACAGAUCUUUUGUAACUGGGCACAACACCAGUUUGUCUACUUAUUUUUUUAUUUCUGAGCAGUACAAAUGAUCAGUAAUUUGGUCUCAGAGCUUUCUCUAUGUAAGCCUUCUUGAAGGUGCAGUUUUGGCUUCUGUUCUGAAUAUUUGAAAUACUUUGUAUGCAUUUCAUAUUCCCAUAAAUAUUGUAUCAACUUAGUAUUUGCUUAGUUAAAAAACUGCUGAAUGUGCUGUAUUAGUUAGUAGUGUUCUCUGUACUUCAGUUCCUGUUGUUACAUUGCUGAUGCAAGAGAGUUAAUAGAUCAAGUUUGGCUUUGCUGGCAUUUUUUGUGUUAGAAAACAGGAAUUCUGAAACAAUAUUUAAUUUUUUUUUUCUCUACAGGACCUAAUUUUUGUGAAUAAAAUGAAACACUGCAAUGAUCUAAUUAUUUGAUAUGAAAUACUAGAUUAUGUUAAAACUUUCUUAAAUAAAGGGUAAAUUCAGCAAUGUGAGUGGGCAGUGCUUGGGUAAAAGAAAUUCUGAGUGGUUUAAAAUACUAUUUUCUGGAAUGGACUGUUUUGGAAAGUAGGGGGAAAGAUGCUAUAAAAGGAUUUUUUUUCAAUGAGUAAUUAUAAUUAUGGCAGUAAUUAAUAGUGUAAUUGAUUUCAGCAACCUUGGGGAACAAAUUAUUCCAGAAGUAUUACUAGAAUCCCCAAAUUAUUUUAAAUAUGUAGUAGUCAAGAAGAGUUUAACUCAGAAGUGAAGAAACUAAUUGUGUCUCAAUCUACUGUUGGCUUAAAUGGACUGGCAGAAGACAUCCCUUCCUCUAAACAACAGCUAAAUAGGGAGGAAGAGCCAAGGAAAAACACAAGUUUAACCCAAAGAUGCCUGAAUUAUGGAAAAUUGUUCAUACCUUCUUGGACAUUUUGGGUUUCACUGAAGUGAUACAAAAAAUUCCAUUGCCGUUUGCCUCUGACAAGAAGGUAUAUCCUUGGAGGCAGCCCACAUUGAGAUAAUAAGUAAAUAGUCUUGAAGUAAAGCUUGGAGUCUUGAAGUUAUGCUCUUAACUUAAAUUUGGAAACAAAUAAAGAUGAAACAAAUGCAA